rnacentral:rRNA from 1 species
UUACUGGGCGUAAAGCGUACGUAGGCGGUUUAUUAAGCAAGAUGUGAAAGCCCAGGGCUCAACCUUGGAACUGCAUUUUGAACUGGUAGGCUAGAGUACUGUAGAGGGUGGUGGAAUUUCCAGUGUAGCGGUGAAAUGCGUAGAGAUUGGAAGGAACAUCAGUGGCGAAGGCGGCCACCUGGACAGAUACUGACGCUGAGGUACGAAAGCGUGGGGAGCAAACAGGAUUAGAUACCCUGGUAGUCCACGCCGUAAACGAUGUCAACUAGCCGUUUGUGUCCUAGAGACGUGAGUGGCGCAGCUAACGCACUAAGUUGACCGCCUGGGGAGUACGGCCGCAAGGUUAAAACUCAAAUGAAUUGACGGGGGCCCGCACAAGCGGUGGAGCAUGUGGUUUAAUUCGAUGCAACGCGAAGAACCUUACCAUCCCUUGACAUCCUGGGAA